AUUGAACGCUAGCGGGAUGCUUUACACAUGCAAGUCGAACGAGUGGCGGACGGGUGAGUAAUAUAUCGGAACGUGCCCAGUAGCGGGGGAUAACUACUCGAAACGGUGGCUAAUACCGCAUACUAUUGGAUCUGCCGAUAUGGGAUUAGCUAGUGGGUGGGGUAACGGCUCACCAAGGCAACGAUCCCUAGCUGGUCUGAGAGGAUGAACAGCCACACUGGAACUGAGACACGGUCCAGACUCCUACGGGAGGCAGCAGUGGGGAAUAUUGCACAAUGGGCGCAAGCCUGAUGCAGCCAUGCCGCGUGUAUGAAGAAGGCCUUCGGGUUGUAAAGUACUUUCAGUGGGGAGGCGUUACUCGCAGAAGAAGCACCGGCUAACUCCGUGCCAGCAGCCGCGGUAAUUC
rnacentral:rRNA from 1 species